UACUCCUACGGGAGGCAGCAGUGGGGAAUCUUGCACAAUGGGCGAAAGCCUGAUGCAGCGACGCCGCGUGCGGGAUGAAGGCCUUCGGGUUGUAAACCGCUUUCAGCAGGGACGAGGCGAAAGUGACGGUACCUGCAGAAGAAGCCCCGGCUAACUACGUGCCAGCAGCCGCGGUAAUACGUAGGGGGCAAGCGUUAUCCGGAUUCAUUGGGCGCAAAGCGCUCGUAGGCGGUCUGUUAGGUCGGGAGUUAAAUCCGGGGGCUCAACCCCCGCUCGCUCUCGAUACCGGCAGACUUGAGUUUGGUAGGGGAAGGUGGAAUUCCUAGUGUAGCGGUGGAAUGCGCAGAUAUUAGGAAGAACACCAGUGGCGAAGGCGGCCUUCUGGGCCAUAACUGACGCUGAGGAGCGAAAGCUAGGGGAGCAAACAGGAUUAGAUACCCUGGUAGUCCUAGCCGUAAACGAUGGACACUAGGUGUGGGGGAGUAUUUCUUCCGUGCCGCAGCCAACGCAUUAAGUGUCCCGCCUGGGGAGUACGGCCGCAAGGCUAAAACUCAAAGGAAUUGACGGA
rnacentral:rRNA from 1 species